rnacentral:rRNA from 1 species
AUUGAACGCUGGCGGCAGGCCUAACACAUGCAAGUCGAGCGGAUGAAGGGAGCUUGCGCCCGUAUUCAGCGGCGGACGGGUGAGUAAUGACUAGGAAUCUGCCUGGCAGUGGGGGAUAACGUCCCGACACGGACGCGAAUAUCGCACACGUUCACAGGUAGAAAGUCGGGGUUCUUCGGACCACACGCUAUCUGCUGACACUAGGUCGGAUUAGCUAGUCGGUAGGGUAAAGGCCUACCAAGGCGACGAUCCGUAACUGAUCUGAGAGGCUGAUCAGUCACACUGGAACUGAGACACGGUCCAGACUCCUACGGGAGGCAGCAGUGGGGAAUAUUGGGCAAUGGGCGAAAGCCUGAUGGAGCAAUGCCGCGUGAGUGAUGAAGGUCUUCGGAUUGUAAAACUCUUUAAGUUGGGAAGAAGGACAGUGUGUUAAUACCUUGAUGUUUUGACGGUACCAAAAGAAAAAGCCACGGCUAACUACGUG